GACGAACGCUGGCGGCGCGCUUAACACAUGCAAGUCGAACGGAAAGGCCUGCUUUCCCUUGUGGAUUGCGGGUACUCGAGUGGCGAACGGGUGAGUAACACGUGAGUGAUCUGCCCCCAACUUGGGUAUAAGCCUGGGAAACUGGGUCUAAUUCCCGAUAGGACUGCAGGGUGGUGCCUGUGGUGGAAAACGAUUUUCUAGUGGUUGGGGAUGAGCUCGCGGCCUAUCAGCUUGUUGGUGGGGUAAUGGCCUACCAAGGCGGCGACGGGUAGCCGGCCUGAGAGGGUGGACGGCCACAUUGGGACUGAGAUACGGCCCAGACUCCUACGGGAGGCAGCUGUGGGGAAUAUUGCACAAUGGGCGGAAGCCUGAUGCAGCGACGCCGCGUGGGGGAUGACGGCCUUCGGGUUGUAAACUCCUUUCGACCGCGAGGAAGCCACCUGGUUGGAAGGGUGGUGACGGUAGUGGUAGAAGAAGCACCGGCUAACUACGUG
rnacentral:rRNA from 1 species